rnacentral:rRNA from 1 species
UAACCGGAGGAAGGUGGGGAUGACGUCAAAUCAUCAUGCCCCUUAUGACCUGGGCUACACACGUGCUACAAUGGGCGGUACAAAGGGUCGCGAACCCGCGAGGGGGAGCCAAUCCCAAAAAGCCGCUCUCAGUUCGGAUUGCAGGCUGCAACUCGCCUGCAUGAAGCCGGAAUCGCUAGUAAUCGCGGAUCAGCAUGCCGCGGUGAAUACGUUCCCGGGCCUU